GUCCGGUGUCGCUACGGCUGCACCGACCGUCCUUGGACUUCAAGGGAGAGCCAAUCCUUCACCUAUCGGUGUAAACACAUGGACAAGU
rnacentral:sRNA from 18 species